rnacentral:lncRNA from 1 species
AGCGUUGAGGGAGUGUUGAGCCCUAUAUCCACGCCAUGCUUUUAUGCACGUUGAAGACCUUUUUGGCAGCGGAAGCGGUUACUCAAGCAUAUAUAAAUAGCCACUUGCAAAACCAAAAAGGGUUCCGAAGCUUUUCCACAUUUUUUCCUUUGCCGUUUUCGCUUUUGCACAUUUUCUUUUCCAGCAACUUAAGCAGUAUUGUUUCUUUAUUAUUUUUACGAGUUCUACACUAUCUCCCUUGCAAUUUCUAUUUUCCUUUUUCCUC